rnacentral:rRNA from 1 species
GCGGCGCACAGCUCAGUAACACGUGGCUAACCUACCCUUGGGACAGGGACAACUCCGGGAAACUGGGAGCUAANNNNUGAUAGGUGAAGNNNUCCUGGAAUGGGUCUUCGCCCNNNNNNCGUCUAAACNNNGCUUUUAGNNNNCGCCCANNNNNGGGGCCGCGGCCGAUCAGGUUGUUGGUGAGGUAACGGCUCACCAAGCCUAUAACCGGUGCGGGCCGUGAGAGCGGGAGCCCGGAGAUGGGCACUGAGACAAGGGCCCAGGCCCUACGGGGCGCAGCAGUCACGAAAACUUUGCAAUAAGCGAAAGCUUGACAGGGCUAUCCCGAGUGCCAUCCGCUGAGGAAGGCUUUUACCCAGUCUAGAAAGCUGGGGGAAUAAGGAGAGGGCAAGUCUGGUGUCAGCCGCCGCGGUAAUACCAGCUCUCCGAGUGGUGGGGACGUUUAUUGGGCCUAAAGCAUCCGUAGCUGGCCGUUCAAGUCCCCUGUUAAACCCAGCGAUUUAAUCGUUGGUCUGCGGGGGAUACUGUUCGGCUAGGGGGCGGGAGAGGCAGACGGUAUUUCCGGGGUAGGGGUGAAAUCCUAUAAUCCCGGGAAGACCACCAG